UACGUAGGGGGCAAGCGUUGUCCGGAUUUAUUGGGCGUAAAGAGCGUGUAGGCGGCCUGGAAGGUCCGUUGUGAAAACUCGAGGCUCAACCUCGAGACGCCGGUUGAAACCAUCUGGCUAGAGUCCGGAAGAGGAGAGUGGAAUUCCUGGUGUAGCGGUGAAAUGCGCAGAUAUCAGGAAGAACACCCGUGGCUAAGGCGGCUCUCUAGUACGGUACUGACGCUGAGACGCGAAAGCGUGGGGAGCGAACAGG
rnacentral:rRNA from 1 species